GUCUGUUUUAGUAUAAUUUGUAUUACGUUGGCUUUUCGUGCUGUAGAUGGUUGUUUAAUUAGACAGAUU
rnacentral:tRNA from 1 species